rnacentral:rRNA from 1 species
AACGAACGCUGGCGGCAGGCUUAACACAUGCAAGUCGAACGCGUGUAGCAAUACACGAGUGGCGCACGGGUGCGUAACGCGUGGGAACCCUCCUCGUAGUUCGGAAUAACCCAGGGAAACUUGGGCUAAUACCGGAUACCUCCUUCGGGAGAAAGAUUUAUCGCUAUGAGAUGGGCCCGCGUCAGAUUAGGUAGUUGGUAGGGUAACGGCCUACCAAGCCGACGAUCUGUAGCUGGUCUGAGAGGAUGAUCAGCCACACUGGGACUGAGACACGGCCCAGACUCCUACGGGAGGCAGCAGUGGGGAAUAUUGGACAAUGGGGGCAACCCUGAUCCAGCCAUGCCGCGUGAGUGAAGAAGGCCUUCGGGUUGUAAAGCUCUUUCGACGGGGACGAUGAUGACGGUACCCGUAUAAGAAGCCCCGGCUAACUUCGUGCCAGCCGCCGCCGUAA